rnacentral:misc_RNA from 1 species
AGAUGGAUCAUUUAUAUUUAUGUCAUCAUUUAGUGGUCGAUAUGGCUGAGUCAUGUGAACUAUAUGAAUUGAGAGGAAUUGGUUGGUUGCACGAAUUUUGUGAAUUGAGGGAAAUUGGUUAACAUUCAUAAUGAGAUUAUAUUAUUAUUCUACUGAUGAGUUCGAGAGUAUUUUCUGGCUAAGAGGUUCACGCUUUCACGGUUUUCUUAGUUUCAACCUGUUCCAUUGUUUUAUUAUUCCUUUGAGUGGGGCUAGCCCCGUGCCACUUAGUAUAGAUGGGUAUUUCUACCCUCACAGACAUGUAAAACACAUGUUUUCCACACAAUGCUCCCUAGAGCUCUCUAUAUUUACUAGUGCCCCCUGAGUCUCGAACCUACGACCAAUGGCUUGUGAGACCAUAGUCAUAACCACUAGACUAAGUGACCACUAGUUUACCUUACGAUACCAGUUUUACUUGCUAAGAGUUUUUAAGCUUGAAAAACCUAUCAAACUCCCCCAAACUCUUAGCAAGGGGAACGGUUUACUCCUGUCAACAAGAAUUUUUCAAUUUUUGUUGGAAAACUUGGCAAAAACGCGGGUAAUUUGCAUUACCUUUACUCCUCUCUAGCCCAAUACUCCCGAGUCAUAGCACCAAUGAUGAGUUCGAGAGUAUUUUCUGGCUAAGAGGUUCACGCUUUCACGGUUUUCUUAGUUUCAACCUGUUCCAUUGUUUUAUUAUUCCUUUGAGUGGGGCUAGCCCCGUGCCACUUAGUAUAGAUGGGUAUUUCUACCCUCACAGACAUGUAAAACACAUGUUUUCCACACAAUGCUCCCUAGAGCUCUCUAUAUUUACUAGUGCCCCCUGAGUCUCGAACCUACGACCAAUGGCUUGUGAGACCAUAGUCAUAACCACUAGACUAAGUGACCACUAGUUUACCUUACGAUACCAGUUUUACUUGCUAAGAGUUUUUAAGCUUGAAAAACCUAUCAUCUACGACCUUCAGCGAUGGAUGUCUCGGAUCUCGUGACGAUGAAGAACGCAGCUAGUUGCGAUAUGCAAUGUGACUUGCAAACUUCUGAGAAUCAUUAGAUUUUUAAACGCAAAAGGUGCUCCUAGGUCACUGCUUAGGAGCAUGUUCGCUUCAGUGCUUUAUAUCUUUGUUGUCUUGCUUAGUAGACAACGUGUGUAGAUGCUGGUAAGACAGCUUCUGUAAUUUAGUGAUUAAAAGCUACUUUGGUAUUUCCUGAAGGCGCGUGAUCGGAUUGAUUUACAAAUAAGCCUGAAUUUGAGCAAGGUUACCCGCUGAAUUUAAGCAUAUUAUUAAGCGGUGGAAGAGAAACUAACUAGGAUUCCCUUAGUAACGGCGAGUGAACAGGGAAAAGCUCAAACUGAAAAUCAAUAGUAUACUAUUGAAUUGUAGUUUCGCGAAGUGCAACCUGUGUUUAUUCUAGGUUAAGUCUCUUGGAAAAGGGUACCAAAGAGGGUGAAAGUCCCGUCUAUACCUAGAGUCGUUCACGUUCGGUGCAUUUUCAAAGAGUCGCGUUCCUUGAGAUUGGAGCGCUAACUGGGUGAUAAAUUUCAUCUAAAGCUAAAUACUGACGAGAUUCCGAUAGCAUACAAGUACCGUGAGGGAAAGAUGAAAAGGACUUUGGGAAGAGAGUUAAAAGGAACUGAAAUUGCUGAAGGGUAAGCGGAGGGUUUUGGCUGUUUAGUGGAGCUUGUAUUGAGCUCCGCGGUAACACUGGAAGGUGAUUGUGCUUACCGAGUAAAGCAUUGAUGGAGUCCCUACAGGGUUGACUUCUUUGCUAUUUUCGGGUCGAGCGAUCAUUUAGCUACUGUUAUACAUUAGUGGUAGCAGUUUAGCCUCCAGCAAUGUCGAUUCUCUCCGUCCCGUCUUGAAACACGGACCAAGGAGUCUAACUUAUAUGCGAGUACAAAGGUGUAAAACCUACGUGCGGAAUGAAAGUAAUAAUCAGGAAGGGUAACCUGCACUGAUACCCGGUUAUUAAGCUGAGGUUGAGCAUAUAUGUUAGGACCCGAAAGAUGGUGAACUAUGCCUGAGUAGGGUGAAGCCAGAGGAAACUCUGGUGGAAGCUCGUAGCGAUACUGACGUGCAAAUCGUUCGUCAAACUUGGGUAUAGGGGCGAAAGACUAAUCGAACCAUCUAGUAGCUGGUUCCCUC